CUAGUACACAUGCGCAUGCAUGUCUGUGUGUGGGGGUGGGGUGGGGGGGAUGUCAGAGAACACCUUUGUGAAAUCAGUUGUCUCUUUGAGCCUUAUUGAGGCAGGCCCCCUUACUGUUUCUCAGUGUAUAUUCUUGGUUAGUGGGUCCUUGAGCUUUCUGGUGAUCCUUCUGUCUCUGCCUUCCAUCUUGCCUGAGAAGUGCUGGCUUUACAGAGAUGCACAACUACCAGUUCCAGCUUGUUUUACGCAGACUUCAGCAAUGGGUCUCAGGUGUCAGGUUUGUACACUAAACCCCUUUACCUGCUGAGCCAUCCUGCUGGCCCUUCACUUUCUCCUUUUCAUUCAGUCCAGGGUCCCAGUCCAUGAAAUGCUCACAGUUGGAGUGGGUCUUCCCUCCUUAUUUAACCUUCUUUGGGUUUGGGGAAGUAGCUUAGCACAGGAGAGGUCCAGAGUUGGAUCUCAAACAAACACUGCGUAAGUCAAGCUUAGUGAUACUUGGGAGAGGUAAGGACGAGGGUCAGAAGAUCAAGGUCAUCCUUCGCUACAUGACAAAUUCCAGGCUGGCCCAAAAAUCAAGAAAUGUCUCAAAAACAAACACUCCCCAAACAGUCGCUUUUAUUGGGCAGAUAAGUCAACCGGAAGUACUGGGUUCCAUUCACAGUCCAGCAAACAAAACUCUGACUCUUUCCCCUACAUCAUCCUGUGCAAGGAAAGUAGUCACUAAACCCCAAGUACAUGAGUGCCCCCCUACAAUACGGUGGUAGUUCGCAUAGAGCUGGACCAAUGGACAUGGACGCAUGGACUCCGCAAUCUGGUAUCCAGCCUCCUUCCUGGCCCCGCCCCUCCCGGGAAUCCCGGGAGUGGGAGGGGCUCCAUUCACAUUCUGACUACCUUUGCAGAGCUAUUCAGUCUCUUCAGUUUAGGCUCUGGCACUGCCUAACCUCCUGAGCUGCUAAUUGGACAAGGCUGUCCAGGGACUCAGUCUGAGACCCCUGCACGGAGGGCUAACUAGAACAAGCACUUGGAGCCGCAGCCUUGACGUUACCUGGCAGAGCAGACGCACCUGCACUUGAAGCUGAGCCCACUCCGCGUGGACCAACCCCACCACAAACAAGGAAUGCCUCACUAAGAUAUGAAGCAAGACUUACGGCUCACCGUCCAACUUGGAAACUUCCAAAGCAGGUUCCAAGAACGCAGUUGUGUUGGCUUCUCUGUUGCCACGGACCUCGGCUGGCACUGUAAGAGCAGAACUCCCUCGUCCCACUCAUGAUAGCAUUCACGCCUCCCUGAUCCCUGGCUUGUACAUUUUUAUCUACCCAAUUACUAUUCCUCACUCCUCCAACUUCCCAGAAAGCUUUUGGCCCUGGUGAGAAUCGGGCAGCUGUAGUGCCCAUUAGUCUGUUAUGGGGACUGGAUCUUAGCCGCUUGAGGCUGCUUCCUUAUGACCUGGAAGAUGUCGCCUCCAGUUGUCUUUCUGGAAAACCAUGUUGUAUGAGAUUUCACAAAGCUUCAGGCUUUAGAGCCCUCUCCUUAUAUCAACUGGGGACUUGGGCACAUUUUUGCACUCCCUUGGGAAUUAUUGUCUGGCAGUAGAAUUACUGCUGAUUAUCUUAUGGUUUUACAACUGUGUGAGGUGGCUUUGUAUCAGUUCUGGGCUGAGAUUGGAGAGUGGCUGUCCUUCAGGAGUUUAAGACAAGGAGUUAUCUGUGAAGUAGGCAAUACAAGUAGGAGAGCCAAGGAAUUAUGCCCAGAAAGGGGAUCUUAUCUUGCUUCUAGGUCAGCCCUUUUGUGAAGCCAGUGUCUCAGCACGUGGA